UUGGACUGGGUGAUCCUGUGGGUCUUCUCGAACCUUGGUGAUUCUGUGAUUCUAUGAACAGUUCAUUUGUAAGAGACCAACAGAGAUAUGAAGUCCAACUGCUUGACCACUUCAGGGCUAAACAAAAGCUGAAAAGUACUAAUGAGAUCAUUAUCCAAACAGCUCUUGACCACUCACGGCCAUGGAGCUUCAACCACUUCUCUGGGAAGCCUAUUCCAAUGCCUGACCACCCUCACGGUAAAUAAAUGUUUCCUGAUGUCCUGCCUGCUCUGUGCCAUCUCCAUUCUGCCAUCGGCUCCCAGCAGCAGAGCCCAGCACUCCCCUCUCACUGCACUGCAGGGAGCAGUGAGGUCAGCCCUCACCCUCCUCUUCUCCAGGCAGCCCAAUGCCCCCAGCAUUCCUCAGAGGACAUCAUGCCUUCAGCCCUGUCACCAGCUUUGCUGUCCACCUCUGCGUGUUUUCAAGGGCCUAAAUACCUUUCUAUACUGUUGAGCCCAGAACUGCACACAGUAUUCAAGAUGAGGUUGCAUCAAUGCUAAACAGCAGGAAAAUCAUCUCUUUUGACCAGCUGGCUGUGCUGUGUUUGAUGUACCCCAACAUACGGUUUGCCCCUUGGCUGCCUGGAUACAGCACAGGUUCAUGCUGAGCUGCUGUCACCAGCACUCCCACGUGCCGUCCUGCUGAGCUGCUCUCCAGCCACUCUUCCCCAUCUGUACCUGUGUUCAGCACUGUUCUGUCCUGUUCUGUCCCAGGGGCAGAACUCAACACUUUCCUUUGCUGAACUUCAUGCCACUGCCAAUUGCUCAGUGCUCCAAUGUAUCUAGAUCCCUUGGCAAGGCCUCACAUUAUUAAGACAUCAUUAAAAGACAUCAGAGUCAUUGGGAUUUGCAGCCUUCCAUUCACCAUGAUUGAAGAUGGCCAGCAGAUACAAAAGUUAUCAGAAAAUAAUGCUGGAAUUUAGCACCCUAAGAUCUAUUUCUCAGAUGUACUGCUUGGUCCCUUCUCUGUACCAAACUGGAUCUCCUGGAGCACUCUAGCAUCUGUGAGCAGCCACUCGAGUUACUCAUACAGAUCACAGAUCUUUGCCUUGGCAAAGAGUGGGAUCUUCUAGUGCAGUAUUAAGGAAACUGUUCUUUCCCAAAUGCUUGAUAGCUCUCAUUUCCAUUAUUGUUGGGGAUAUGCAUGACAAGUAUACUGAUCCAUUUCUCUACCUUCUCAUCUGGCGUAGGAGCCAUCUUGUUCUUUCCUGUUUAACAGUCAUUUCUUGUCAACGGCUAUUUCAUAAACAGAAGAAGAACUGAGACUUCUUUUAAACAGGGCAAUUAUUUUUCUGAAGCUUUCAGAUGCCACUUCCUGCCUGCAGCACCUAAUAAAGCCUUGAAUUGCACAAAAUAACAUUGCAAGAUGACAGUAAAUUAACCACGCAUGCCUGUGUGU
ensembl:lncRNA